rnacentral:misc_RNA from 1 species
UGUGGCACUUUGUUUGAAAAGGUAAUGUUUUUGAUUUAUGAUUAUGUUAUAUUUCAACACUAGUAAUAGUAGCAAAGCUUUCCUCAAGUCUUUCUUAUAAGUUUCUGUUUAUAAUUGGGAUUGGGAUCAUAGAGGUGGAUAUAUAACUGUAGAUAUUCAGACUCAUCUAUCAAAAAGGCAUCAUGAUGGUGAAUUUGUUGCCACUUUGGAUCUGUUAAGAGGAAACCAGAAGGUUGUUCCAUUAGAUGGAAACCUGUUUAUACCCCAGGCCUGGUCAAAUUAGCAAUUCCCAAAAUCUGUAGUAAUUAUCGAAAUACAACUGUUGAUGCAGCAAGCAGAAAAGCAGGGGAAUGCUGUUUUGUGGAUGAACCAACAAAAGGUUAAUACAUUUGACGUUAUAGGCAAGGUUCAUACAUUUAAUGUUGUGGCCUAUAUUAAGCUUUGAUAGAACAUGAUUAUAUACUAGCUCUUGGUUGGAUUGUUUCUUUAAUUGCUUGCUUGCAUGCUUUCUUUCGGAAUUUAGGCCAAUUCUUUUAUGCGCUUAUCGAUUACUUAGAGCUCUACCUCUUUUGGCUUGCAAAUAUGCUUUCAUAAUCUGAUAGUUGAAGUAUACCAAACACAUGCUGUCAGAUUAAUUUACAAAAUCAUCCUGCUGGCCGAUUAGGUGAAUUAUGCUGACCUAAGUAUUUG